CUUCCGCCUUGGGAGGUCGCUUCCUGUUAGGUGCCGGAAGGGGCGGGUCACCGGAGCGUGGGGGAGGAGUCUAGAGCUACGGCACGCAAGACGCAAACAACCUGGAGCCUGGCGGCGACGGCGGCGGCCUGGAGCCGAGGCCGGGCGAGGUGUCAGGGGUCCGACUUUCGGAUUUUUUUCCCUGGAGCCGCGUUUCCAACGUGGAAUUCCUCGGCCGGAAGGGUUUUCCAGGCCUGUGUUAACCCUAACUCGGCCAGUGGAUGAACGAGUUGGGCUGUGGAACCCCGUGUAAACCGGGGCGUUGUUAGAGACAGAAGACGGCGCCUGGCGAGGACUCCCCUCAGAAGCCCGGUGACUCUCCGCGGCGGAUGGAAUAAGGCACCAGGCGGCCGCAUCAUCCGUCAGCAGGCUGGGCCCUGUGCGCGCCCCUGUCCGGUCCUCGCCGCUAGGUGGCGCCGCAGGAGCUGCCCCUUUCACUCCUGCCGAGGCCCGGAUUAUUUGAGAUUCCCAGAAGUCACCGUCUCAAGAAACCCCGAGAAGGAUGGCAACAGAAUGAGUGGAUAGGUCAAGAUCGCUCAUCAUGUCCUUGGCAGACAUUGUCACGUUGUGAAGGUGAGUGGGAGAAGAAGGCCCGGUUGGAGGCAGGCGGGGGCCCCCCGGAGCAGGCCAGGAUACGCGCCUCUCCAGGGUGGGCGGCUCAUCGCAGUCUCGGGUGGCUAGUGGAUAUUGGAAAGUUCCAAAAAAUGUUUAGUUUUCCCCGGUGUUUUGUUUCAAUCGGGUUCAAAAUGUCCCACGUGAGAAACGAAAGGGGGAUUGGCCACACGGCCCCACCGCACCCCGCGUGCGUCCUCUCCGUGGUGCUCGGAGAGAACUGGGAGCCCUUCACUGCCUGGGCCGGGGGGACGCCAGGGGCUCAGCCGGCUCCAGCGCGCUUCCGGCAUCAGGACAACCGGGACGGGGCGGCACUGUGUCGAGCGGCCCUCGGAACCCCGGCCCGGACGGGGCUGUGCUCACGCGGCCGGGGGUGUUUACCAUCACGGGCUUCACUGCUAGCUUGCGCGUGUGAGCUGUCGCACCCAUAUUUCCACGUAGGGACAGAGAAGCAUGGUUUCUCUAUUUUGGGUAGCUCCUUUUAAAUCAUGCGGUGUUUCAGGGAGAGACACUUUGGAACGUCAGAAAUUUAAAAUGCAGAGUGCUGUAACACGGCUCUUAGCGCCUCGUGUGCUGAGAGCAUGUCUCUUGAGAGUUACGUGGGCCCGGCUUUUGUGGCAAUGAAUCCCAAUCGUCUGUUUGUCGCAGGCAGAAAACAACACGGAGCCCACAGCGCCGGGAGCGGCAGGGCUGGUGGCACGACCUUGAAGCGGGAGAAGGCGUCUUUUGCGUUCGGGACUUGUCACUAUUUUAAGCACAAUGGUGACAUCUGGUAUCGCUUACAUGUUGUCUCUUUCAAGCGGUAACCGUUUUUCCCUCUGAAUGCAGGCAGCGUCUGGUUCCGAAGGCCUUUUCCAGAAUUUCUGGUUGCCACGGGCUUUCGUUUGGAUGGUUUGGACUGGCUCAAGCCGUCCGCCUGGCCUCUGGGUCACUGCUUACGCUCCGUGCUAGCCGGGACCCCUUUCAUCCAGAUCUACUGGAUGAUAAUGUCCCUUGAUCCAAGAUCCUUAACUAGGGAUCACCCAGGAGAGAGGCAAAAAGCUGAGCCGGCCCCUCCUGCUGUUUCCAAGCAGCGAGCGAGCCUGCUGCGCCAUGUCUGGCCCAUCGUCCUGCAGGGUGGGCUGUGCCGGCGGCCCUGCGAGCCUCCCCACCGAGCACCGGGGACCCCCCUGCGCCCAGACCGUGGGACGCCCAGAGCCUCCUACGUUCGGGGGCUCGAGAAAGACCAGCGGAAGCAAAAGGCCCACUUUAAAAAACACACAAAGGGCUUAACGGACAUUUUCCGAAAGGAGAGACACAGACGGCCAGCGGGCCCCCGAAAAAAACUCCUCGCAGAACGUGGGUCACAGCCACCCCGAGGUACCGUUUCACACCCACUGUGGUGAUGACAAGAAAACGCGAAAUAACGAGUUCUGGCGGGACGGGAAACGGCGCGGCCGCUGUGGAAAACGGCGUGGUGGUUCCUCAGCACGUGGAACGUGGAGUCACCGUAUGGCCCGCGAUCCCGCUCCCGGGUGCACGUCCAAGGCCACCGAGAGCAGGGGUCUGAACGGAUCGCCGUACGCCCAGGCUCGUAGCAGGUCUAUUCACAGCAGCCAAAGCUUCAGACGACAUGAGUGUCUCUAGACGGACAGAUGGCUGGGCACACGUGCCCUGUCCACGCAGGGGAGGGGAGAGGGUGGCUGUGGAGGCGGAGCCCAGGACCGGCCUUUCUCCGCAAGGUCUCCGGGGCCAAGAGCUGCCAGCUGGCGUCUCGGAGGAGACCCCCCCCGCCCCCCAGGCCAGGAGGAGGCUCGGGGGCAUAAACACAAGCACGUCUUGGCCUCGUGUUCAGUGACAGGGUGUUCAGGGAGCCGCAGGACAGUCUGAAGGCUUCACACGAGGCAGUUCUCCGGGCAGGAUGCGGGGCUGCUGGGGCCCUUCCCAGCAGGAUCCCCGGAGAACUCCAAGUUCGGUCUCUACAUUUUCAUUAAGAGCUUCCACCCGGGGAGAAUGAUGGAUUAGAUUUUGCUGUUGGAAAGAAGCCAGAUAAAAUUAGAUGCCUCUCGGCUCCCCACCACACACCCCUUGCCCCUGUUCUUUUCUGAAAGCUUUACUUUUCUCUCUCGGUUCCUGGCAGGAAGGAACCGAGCGGGUACGGUCGCUUCCUUGAGCCUCCCUGCUUUAAUUUCCAGUGUGAUUUCGCUGUUGCUCUAAUUUUCUUCUGUUCUGGAACAGCUUUGGGCCUUGGGCUCUGCAUUGGGGGGGGUGUGUGCGCGUGUGGUUUCUGUUUUCUUUUCAGGAAGCUUGUUAGAAUUUAUAGCUGGAAACGGAGAGAAUACUCUGCCUCACAAAAGAAAUUCACCUGAUUCCUCACGUCUUGUCUCUUCUCUCCAAGUUCUCGUUCUUGGCCAAGCUAACCUGCCGUCUCAUCCACCUACAUAGAAUCGGGUUUGCCUCCCAGCCAGCCACUUUGUAGCAAAGCCGGGUUCUGACGGUCUGCUGUCUUCUGUUACCGUGCGCCGACAGUGGAUUUCAAGAAGAGCCGUUGUGUUUUCCCAGUGCAGGAAAGGAAACACUCGGGUUCCAUCUGUCCAGAGGAGCUGAGAGCGCAUGGGUGGCACACCUCCAGGGACAGACUGUGAGGCGGUCGCCGGUUGCAGAGGGUGCUGGAGCCGGGCGUGGGUGCCAUUCACGUGGGCGUUGUUUUCUUGAGGUCGAACCCUGUGGAAUUUAGCGGAGACCUCGAGCGGAUUCGAACAGCCUCAGCCCCCACGUCCUGGGUCUGAAAUCAACCGUGUGGGAGGAGCCGCCCCGGCAGAGCUGCGUGCCCGCCGUGCAGCCGUGUACCUGCUCCCGCACCCUGACCAGAACGUUCCCCUUGUGCGUGCAGGCAGCCCACGCUCAGGGGCACGCCACGGUCCGAAGGGCCGGUCAUCCAGGACCCGGCGUUCCCAGCGACGAGAGCCUCACGGGUCUCUCCAGGCCUUUUUCUGGGCCGCCAGUGUGGACAUGGCAGACACACAGACGCACAGACACGGCCUGAGAGGGUCUUCCUUCCUUCCAGUCCUGCCCUGAGUUCCCGCGCUGUCCCGCAGGGGCACCCCGGGCAGCUGAAAGCAGCUUAAUGGACAGUUUUGUUGGUUUGGUGAUGCCAUCUCAUGACGACAUUACCCAAAUCCCUUGGAACAUUUUUGGGACUGUGGAUUCAGGGGCCUGGACCAAGGGACUCGGCAAGGGAGGUGUGAUCUGCCUGCUGCCCCUCGGGCUUGGGACCGGACCUCAGAGCCACCGUCGGGUCACGGCGGCCAUUCCCAUGGCUGUGCUGGUGCCCCCUGGGCCAGCGGUGGCCGUGUGCGAUUUUGUCAGUCGUUUCCUUCUUUAAAAAAGAUUUUUUUUUAAUCUUUGAGAGAGAGACAGAGUGUGAGCAGGGGAGGGGCAGAGAGAGGGGGAGACACAGAA